UGCACAUAUUAGAAUAUGAAUUUGUAUAAAAAGUGGAAAUGGAGUGACCUAUUUUUUUCGAAUUUUAUACCAAGGAGAUUUUUUAUCCAGCGUUGAGAAUUUUUUUAAAAAUUUACAUACUUUUUUUUGCAUUAUUAGUUUUGAGUUUUCCUUUCUUUGUUACAAAACAUUGGAAGAAUUUUGAUAUAAAAUUUUAUACUGCUAAGCGACAUCUGAUGGUAAAAGGUUGAGAAGGGGAAG
rnacentral:misc_RNA from 1 species